GGGGGGGGAACCAUAUGGGUGCCCCCGGCGACCAUAUGGGUGCUGUGGGGGCCUAUGGGUCACCGUGGGGCCCUAUGGGGCACUGUGGGGCCCUAUGGGUGCUAUGGGGACCCUAUGGGGUCCCUAUGGGGUCUCUAUGGGUGCUAUGGGUUCCUAUGGGUGCUAUGGGGACACUAUGGGGUCCCUAUGGGGUCUCCAUGGGUGCUAUGCAUUCCUAUGGGUGCUUUGGGGCCCUAUGGGUGCAAUGGGGCCCUAUGGGUGCUAUGGGGUCCCUAUGGGUGCUAUGGGGCCCUAUGGGUGCUAUGGGGUCCCUAUGGUCCCUAUGGGUGCAAUGGGGCCCUAUGGGUGCUAUGGGGUCCCUAUGGGUGCAAUGGGGCCCUAUGGGUGCUAUGGGGCCCUAUGGGUCUCUAUGGGUGCUAUGGGUCCCUGUGGGUGCUCUGAGCUCUGUGAGUUGGGGGGGUGGGGGGGGGGGUCAGUGGGUGCCGCCCCCCCUCUGCGUCCCCAAUCCGCGCUGGCAGUGCCGCGCAAUUACCCAAAUGGCUUUAAUUGCACCCAUAAUCCCCCACCCCCCCCCACCCCCAACCCCACGGGGACACGGGG
rnacentral:lncRNA from 1 species